rnacentral:lncRNA from 1 species
CUGGCAGAUUAUUGCAAAAGGGCACGGGGCAGAGGGACUAUGUUGUGAGCCUGCGAAAGAAGUUUGUGUGGGGACUGUGGGCAGUGAACGCGUUGGGAACAAUAUGGAAAACUGGGAGCCGCCUUGGAAUCUACAGGGCCGGGCUGAAGAAAAGAAGAAUGGUAUUCACGCAGUUCCCAUUUUACAGAUGAAAACAAGAGGACUUUUUCUGUGAAGUCAAGAAAGUGGUUACAAUGGUACUUUCAGCCUGUCCGAAUUAUGUAUUGCCCCUCCCCUUUUUAUUAAUAACAUUGAAGUGUGAUGGGACAACCACUGAAGCCGUCAGUUGAAACCUGCUGGGACUUUUUAGCCAUUCUCUUCAACAUAAAGAAUGGGUGUUUUUGGAGGGGGUGAGAGGAAUGGGGAAAUGUUGUCAAAGAGUACAACGUUUUAGUUGAGACAGGAAGAAUAUAUUUUGUUGAGAUCUACAGCACAGCAUGGUGACUGUAGUUAACAAUGAAGUAUUGUCUAUUUCCAAAUUGCUAAGACAAUAAAUUUCAAAUGUUCUCACCACA